CUCCCUCCCCCCUCAGAUCCUCUCCCCUCUCCCUCGAUGCAGGGCCAAUCUCUCCCCCGCGCCUCCUGAUCCAACCUCCCACCCACCGCCGACCUCGCCGUCCUCCUCACCCACCGCCGCCGACCUCGUCCCUCCCUCCCCUCACCAUCUCUCCCUCGUCUCUCCCUCUCCCCCGCACCACUCGUCGCCUACUACCUCAGCUAGAUGGGCCAGAUGCUGUGCCUCGUCCGCCCACCCGUGCUCUGUGUCAUUGUCGAGGCCGGCAAACCCACCCUCGUCCCCCUCGUCGCCUAACCCAGCAGCUACCAGCUCAGGCCUAACCCCUACCCCGCAGCCAUGGCCAUGGCCCCGCCGCUAGGGUUUCUCACCCAGCCUUCCCUCGCCGUCACCCGUGCAGGAGGAAGGAGACCGAGUCUCCAGUGGCCAUGAGCGAUGGCAAGGACACCCUCGACAUCUCCGCCCUCGGUGUCGCCGUCCCCAACGCCGCAGAGCUCUGCGCGUGGACUCCUGAGCUCAGCGCCGAGAGCUCAGGCCAACGCUGAUUGUUGACCCUUUCUGCAGUUCUUUCACCACAGCCCAGAUUAUGGAGUUCGACGAGCGCUGCCUCAAGUCCAGGAACCCAAAUUUGAUUGCCUCCUCUUCGACCUCGACGACACUCUGUACCCACUGAGCUCGGGGAUCUCAUCACACAUCAAGACCAACAUUGAAGGUCCAUGACAUCUCGCUGAACCACUACUGGAUGUGGCGUCGACAAAGCACUACACCUGGCUUGCUCGCCGGCGCGCGUGUUCAUGCUUCGAUGCGCGGCGCUUCGUCGAGCUGGACGGACUGCGGCAAUCGCUGGAGCCAGAACCGGAGGAGGCGACAAGAUGCUGCUGUUGCGGCUGCAUCCUCGGAGGCAGCAGCUGCCCCUCGCCGACCUCACCAACCUCCGGCGUCCGCCAUGAGCUCCGCGCAGGACCCCUUCUACAUCGCCCGGGAGGAGAUCCAAGGCUCGCUUUGUCCAUGGAAUACUGCCCUACGACAACAUCAAGCCAAACCCCGUUCUGAAGCAGAUUCUCAAGAACAUGCGCAUCCUCAAGAUCAUUUUCACCAACGGUGACAUGAUCCAUGCCGUGAGAGCCCUCAAGAGGCUUGGCCUGGAGGACUGCUUCGAGGGGAUCAUCUGCUUCGAGAGAACAUUGAAGAGAAUGUACAAGAGAUGUAAAUGUUUUUUUCCUAAGUUGAAACACAUUACUCUAUUUUAUUUCUAUGUGGGUCAAUUUGAUAAGAGAUGUGAAGUCUUGUGAUGAGACCCUUAUUUACUAACAAAGUUAUAUUUGUCCACUGGAUGCAUACCUAUGUUUUAGAUAUACGUUGGUUAGGUGGGUCAUGAAACUGGGAAGAGAUUUAAUUUUUUGUGAUGCCUUCUACAUCAAGUUGCAUCCUUCUGCACAAAAUUUUGUAUGUGUUAUUGGUAUAGUGGAGGAUUAGCAUCCUUUUCUGGUUUGUUGUGAAACGCUUUGGUUUACUCCCUGGUUUUGUUGUCUGUAGGAGUUUGAGUGAAAUUCUGAACGUUGGACUUUCCUGUACGGCUUAAAACUGCACUCUUUUUCACUAAUGAGUAAACCAAGUUAACCAUGAAGUUUUACUAUGUGUAAUCUAUUCAAGUAAUAAAUUCAACUUCUGAUUUGAAGGUUUAAAAUUUCUUGUAAUAAAUUCUACUGAACCUGAACACUACUUGUAUUACUUGGCAAGUAAGAGUGUUUUUCUCGUGUUUUAAGAUAUCUGAAGGUUGUUCACCCAAGUGUUGCGCCUUUAGGGUCAACCCCACGAUGAAUUUAGAUGGCGGUCAUUUGGUAAAUCUGUUUGAAAUUCUGAACCUAUGUAAGGAGAAAAAAAGACCAUAAUCUCUAUGUUCCAUUUUGUCUGUUUAUACAAGUGUUUAUGGGGUGCUAAAUCUGAUGAGAAUGGCGUCAAGGAUCAGAAUAUUCAGUUUUUGUUUUACUUCAGUUCAUGUUGAUCUCCAUAGCAGAACUGCUUGAUGUUGUUGCCCGUGGGAAUCUUGUUGCUUCUGGUUUUUAAGGGGGUUUUGUUUAUGACAGCCAUGGAGCAGAAAAAACCGACAUGCUACUAAUGCUAAGAUGGUUAUGAGAAGAUAUGCUGCUGGAGAGAUGCUCUUAGCAAACUGGAAGGGCUGCAACCAAAUUCAAUCGACAGCAUGGCAAUGGUCUUUGAAUAUCUAAGCUAGUGAUCAUCUUUUCAGCGAUUCCUUUUCUAUUUGGCCGGCCUUCUCGUAGGUUUGCACAUAAGCGGAAGUUGGUAGUGUAUAUUAGCUGUUGUUGGAGCUGUGAUGGCAGUAUAUCUUUUUUGUUGCUUGGCUGUCGCUUCAUCUUUUUGUUGCUGCUGCUUAUGUAUAGAUAAUCUGAUGAAGAUGUAACUGUAACAAAUGAUAUAUGAUUGUAUGGCGA